rnacentral:lncRNA from 1 species
GAGCUACGGCGGGGUGGGGGGGUGGGCAGGGCCAGGGAGCUGCAGGGCUUUGUCUGGGCUGUUAGUGGAGGACUGACCUCAGGCUUGGGGUCCCCGCCCAGAACAUGGACCCAGGGGACAGACUGACUGCUGACCGUCAUCCCACACUGCAGGAGCGGGGCCGCCUCCAGGUGAGCAUGGAAAAGCGAGGGCAUGUCCCUGGCCUGCAGCGCCAGAUCACGCCCACAAGAGAUGGAACCGCCCACUCACUCAUUUUCCAUCAGGAUGUAGCCAUACUCCUCCUCGGGGGGCUGGACUUGCAGCCGCUCCUUGGAGUAGGUCUGGCUCCGCACGUUCUCCACGCCCGCGUGCUCCUCCUCCGAAGACAGGGAGGCCUCGGCGUCAUCCCCCUUCUUGCUCUCCGUCUUGAAGGGCUCUGUGAGAUGGGGGGCUGCAGGCAGGAACGGAGACCCAGGGCCCUGCAGGAGGUCCCCCAGUUGGACACCCAGACGGUUCACCUCCCUCGUCGCUGUCUCGCAGUCUGCUCUCUGGCACGCGGUCUCUGUGCAGCGCGGCCCCUGCACCGUUCACCUCCGCUCCGCGUCUGCCAGCUCUCCCGGCCGCGCCCGGCGCCCCAGCCACACCCCCACUCGGCACCGCGAUCGCAAGGGCGCGGACCACCUCAUCUACGUCCAGGGCACUCAGACCGUCCACGCCGGCCGGGCGCUUCUGCAGGUCCUUCAGCAGCAUCUGAACACGAGCUUCUAAACAGACACGCAAAAGGGAGACACACAGAGGCAAGGGCAGCGUUAGGACAAGGAGGCGAGGCCGGCGGAGGAGCAGGCGGGUGGACGAUGCGCACAGCCAUGGAGUGGGAGCAGGGACCCCCAAGCGGAAGUUCUGUGGGGGCGGAGCAGGGCGUCUGAAGCCUAGAGCUCCCUGGACAGGCCGCCGGCAGACUGAUGGGGAACAAGGGCCAGUGAGUCUGUGGCAGACCGCAGGAAGGACCGGGAUCAGCAGGACAGAGAGAACCCUGGCGCCUGGGCACGGCAGUGGGUAGCAGAGGUGAGACAGGACCUGAGAGGGAGGGGCAGAGGAAGGGAAACCCCACAAACCCCCAGGACCAGCGACCAGCACCAACCCCACACACCCCCAGGACCAGCACCAACCCCACACACCCCCAGGACCAACGACCAGCAUCAAGUCCGAGGCUCAAGGCCCUCAGUCAGCUCCAGGAAGAGGAACAAAGAGCAGCACACGGCCAGGCUCCCCCCAGAAAACCAGGUGGACGAGACGUUACACCGCCCAGGGGCCAGGACAUGUCCCUGCCCUGGAAGCAGGACACACGUGACCGGACGCACACUUACACACGCGUAACUGUGACACAUGUGAC